rnacentral:rRNA from 1 species
UACGUAGGAGGCGAGCGUUGUCCGGAAUUAUUGGGCGUAAAGAGCUCGUAGGUGGCCUGUCGCGUCGGCUGUGAAAACUCGGGGCUCAACUCCGAGCUUGCAGUCGAUACGGGCAGGCUAGAGUUCGGCAGGGGAGACUGGAAUUCCUGGUGUAGCGGUGAAAUGCGCAGAUAUCAGGAGGAACACCGGUGGCGAAGGCGGGUCUCUGGGCCGAUACUGACACUGAGGAGCGAAAGCGUGGGGAGCGAACAGG